UACGUAGGGUGCAAGCGUUAAUCGGAAUUACUGGGCGUAAAGCGUGCGCAGGCGGUUUUGUAAGUCUGUCGUGAAAUCCCCGGGCUCAACCUGGGAAUGGCGAUGGAGACUGCAAGGCUAGAGUUUGGCAGAGGGGGGUAGAAUUCCACGUGUAGCAGUGAAAUGCGUAGAGAUGUGGAGGAACACCGAUGGCGAAGGCGGCUACCUGGACAGAAACUGACGCUGAGGCACGAAAGCUAGGGGAGCAAACAGG
rnacentral:rRNA from 1 species